rnacentral:rRNA from 1 species
AGCUCCAAUAGCGUAUAUUAAAGUUGUUGUGGUUAAAAAGCUCGUAGUUGAACCUUGGGCCUGGCUGGCCGGUCCGCCUCACCGCGUGCACUGGUCCGGCCGGGUCUUUCCCUCUGUGGAACCUCAUGCCCUUCACUGGGUGUGACGGGGAAACAGGACUUUUACUUUGAAAAAAUUAGAGUGCUCCAGGCAGGCCUUUGCUCGAAUACAUUAGCAUGGAAUAAUAAAAUAGGAUGUGUGGUUCUAUUUUGUUGGUUUCUAGGACCGCCAUAAUGAUUAAUAGGGACAGUCGGGGGCAUCAGUAUUCCAUAGUCAGAGGUGAAAUUCUUGGAUCUAUGGAAGACUAACUACUGCGAAAGCAUUUGCCAAGGAUGUUUUCA